rnacentral:rRNA from 1 species
GUGGGGAAUAUUGGGCAAUGGGCGCAAGCCUGACCCAGCAACGCCGCGUGAAGGAAGAAGGCUUUCGGGUUGUAAACUUCUUUUACCAGGGACGAAACAAAUGACGGUACCUGGUGAAUAAGCCACGGCUAACUACGUGCCAGCAGCCGCGGUAAUACGUAGGUGGCGAGCGUUAUCCGGAUUUAUUGGGUGUAAAGGGCGUGUAGGCGGGACAGCAAGUCAGAUGUGAAAUCUCUCGGCUUAACCGGGAGUCUGCAUUUGAAACUGUAGUUCUUGAGUGAUGGAGAGGCAGGCGGAAUUCCUUGUGUAGCGGUGAAAUGCGUAGAUAUAAGGAGGAACACCAGUGGCGAAGGCGGCCUGCUGGACAUUAACUGACGCUGAGGCGCGAAAGCGUGGGGAGCAAACAGGAUUAGAUACCCGAGUAGUCC